AUUGCUGUUAAGAUUUUUUCCUCUUUAAUGUUUUAAAAACCAGGUCAUAAAAUACACUGUGAGGUGAAUUGUAACGUACUGCAUCUGUUCAGCCUUCAACUGCUUAAAUUUGUCAUGGAUAAAGUAAUUCUCCUGGAUUUUGGAAUGUAUAUUUACAUGAGCAUAAUGGAAACAUAUAUUUAAAAUGCAUUAUUAUAUUCGGCACAAUAACCAUUUGUGAAAUUGUGAAGCAAAAGAAUGACAGGUGACUAUACGUAAUGGCAGCUUUUAUGACAGCAGAAGUGAGGUACAAGGAGGAAAUCAAAACAUAUGUCAAAGAGAGGGCUACUUUGCAAGUACUGGAAAAGUCUGACUCAGACUUUCAUACAUUGUCCCUGUUUUGUGUUCCACUGCAAAUAAGGAGCUUAAUCUGAAGAUAAUUCAAUCCAGCACUGCAUCUUGGAGCUCUGGCGACAGGCGUGAAAUUGUUUUAUCUUUUUUGUUCUUGGUGCGCGGCGCUGAUUGGGUGAGCAUGCGGACCAUCUGCUGCCGAGGUAACUCUGGGGAUCCUUGUCAAAUUGAUUGUGCUCAGAAACAACUGAGACAGAGGAAAAAUAGAGUUUCUAAUUACAUUUUACCCGGGAUCUUGUUCGACUCUAGGAAGUGGUAAUUCAAAAAUAAAUGGCUUUGGUGGGCAUCUUAGAAUCUUUAAUUAACAAAUUACUCCAUUAACGCACACAUUGUUUUCCAGGUGAGUGAGAUCAUUUGCCCCUGGGGCUUUUCUUCCAUAUGCCUUCUUUUCCUCCAGCUAAAUGUGUAGCAAAUUGAAGUAUUCAUUUUGAUUAUAUAAAGCACACGGGUAUACAAUUAUAUAAAAAGAAAGAUGACAUUUGUUUCCCCUUUUCCCCAGGGCCCCUACAGGCUCGCCCCUCCCUGAAAAACAUGGCAUACGUUUAUUACACUAUAUAUUUCCUGUUAUUGAAUUUUUCCUUUCUUUUUCCUCUGUCUUUUUGUAAGGGUGUUUUUGAAACGAGCCUUUACUGGAAACAACAGGAUAAUGGUUAUUUACAAGUUGCCACUAAAAUAAUGAGAUUUUCUCCCAGAGAAAAUGGGAUGAUACGUGUCUCUGCUGCGUGACCAAUUUGGAGAUUUUAGGAAUGGAUUUAUUUCACGGUGUCAAAUGUAAACAAUAUGUUUUCUAAACUUAAUGAACACGUAUCAAAUAUUUAUGGAAAUACAGUUAGCUUAAAGUUUAGUUUUAUUAAAUGCUUCUUAAUUAUUUAUGCCUUAUUGAAUAACUAAUCUGUAUUUGACUUCCUUUUUAUAUAUUACUUUACACAGAAGCUUUCUGUACGAACAGGGAAUCAAUUCCACAACCUGUACUCUCCUGGAUGUGCUCCCGUUCCACUGCAGUCCCAAUGGUUACUGGAGCAGUAGAUGAAAUAAUGGGAAAGUUAGCUUGCAUAUGUAACAUGGCAACAUUGUCUGUGAACUAAAUGAAAUCACCAGUGAUUUCUGAAGCAUAAUUUAAUGGUGAAACAUACAGGGCA